rnacentral:rRNA from 1 species
CGCGACGCGCACGGGUGAGUAACACGUAUGCAACCUAGGCCGUGACAGAUGGAUAACCGGGAGAAAUCCCGCCUAAUACAACAUAAUGCCGGGAGGGGACAUCCCCUGCCGGCCAAAGGGGGCGACCCCGGUCACGGAUGGGCAUGCGGCGCAUUAGGUAGUUGGUGGGGCAACGGCCCACCAAGCCGACGAUGCGUAGGGGUUCUGAGAGGAAGGUCCCCCACAUUGGAACUGAGACACGGUCCAAACUCCUACGGGAGGCAGCAG